CCCCUUAGCAAAUCUCAAAAAGCUGGCGGCAGGCUUAACACAUGCAAGUCGAGCGGGCAUAGCAAUAUGUCAGCGGCAGACGGGUGAGUAACGCGUGGGAACGUACCUUUUGGUUCGGAACAACACAGGGAAACUUGUGCUAAUACCGGAUAAGCCCUUACGGGGAAAGAUUUAUCGCCGAAAGAUCGGCCCGCGUCUGAUUAGCUAGUUGGUGAGGUAAUGGCUCACCAAGGCGACGAUCAGUAGCUGGUCUGAGAGGAUGAUCAGCCACAUUGGGACUGAGACACGGCCCAAACUCCUACGGGAGGCAGCAGUGGGGAAUAUUGGACAAUGGGCGCAAGCCUGAUCCAGCCAUGCCGCGUGAGUGAUGAAGGCCCUAGGGUUGUAAAGCUCUUUUGUGCGGGAAGAUAAUGACGGUACCGCAAGAAUAAGCCCCGGCUAACUUCGUGCCAGCAGCCGCGGUAAUACGAAGGGGGCUAGCGUUGCUCGGAAUCACUGGGCGUAAAGGGUGCGUAGGCGGGUCUUUAAGUCAGGGGUGAAAUCCUGGAGCUCAACUCCAGAACUGCCUUUGAUACUGAAGAUCUUGAGUUCGGGAGAGGUGAGUGGAACUGCGAGUGUAGAGGUGAAAUUCGUAGAUAUUCGCAAGAACACCAGUGGCGAAGGCGGCUCACUGGCCCGAUACUGACGCUGAGGCACGAAAGCGUGGGGAGCAAACAGGAUUAGAUACCCUGGUAGUCCACGCCGUAAACG
rnacentral:rRNA from 1 species